AUUGAGCGCUGGCGGCAUGCCUUACACAUGCAAGUCGAACGGUAACAGUCUUCGGAUGCUGACGAGUGGCGAACGGGUGAGUAAUACAUCGGAACGUGCCUAGUAGUGGGGGAUAACUACUCGAAAGAGUGGCUAAUACCGCAUGAGAUCUACGGAUGAAAGCAGGGGAUCGCAAGACCUUGUGCUACUAGAGCGGCCGAUGGCAGAUUAGGUAGUUGGUGGGAUAAAAGCUUACCAAGCCGACGAUCUGUAGCUGGUCUGAGAGGACGAUCAGCCACACUGGGACUGCGACACGGCCCAGACUCCUACGGGAGGCAGCAGUGGGGAAUGUUGGAGAAUGGGCGCAAGCCUGAUCCAGGAAUGCCGCGUGCAGGAUGAAGGCCUUCGGGUUGUAAACUGCUUUUGUACGGAACGAAAAGCCCUGGGUUAAUACCCGGGGGUCAUGACGGUACCGUAAGAAUAAGCACCGGCUAACUACGUGCCAGCCGCCGCAGUAA
rnacentral:rRNA from 1 species